rnacentral:rRNA from 1 species
UACGGGAUGUUACACAUGCAAGUCGAACGGCAGCGCGGACUUCGGUCUGGCGGCGAGUGGCGAACGGGUGAGUAAUGUAUCGGAACGUGCCCAGUAGCGGGGGAUAACUACGCGAAAGCGUAGCUAAUACCGCAUACGCCCUACGGGGGAAAGCGGGGGACCUUCGGGCCUCGCACUAUUGGAGCGGCCGAUAUCGGAUUAGCUAGUUGGUGGGGUAAAGGCCUACCAAGGCGACGAUCCGUAGCUGGUUUGAGAGGACGACCAGCCACACUGGGACUGAGACACGGCCCAGACUCCUACGGGAGGCAGCAGUGGGGAAUUUUGGACAAUGGGGGCAACCCUGAUCCAGCCAUCCCGCGUGUGCGAUGAAGGCCUUCGGGUUGUAAAGCACUUUUGGCAGGAAAGAAACGGCUCUGGCUAAUACCUGCGGCAACUGACGGUACCUGCAGAAUAAGCACC